AUCCAGUUGACGAGUCCCAAACAGGAUGAGACGUGUGUCCUGCAU
rfam:Schistosoma margrebowiei strain Zambia genome assembly, scaffold: SMRZ_scaffold0003167